AACGAACGCUGGCGGCAUGCCUAACACAUGCAAGUCGAACGAGACCUUCGGGUCUAGUGGCGCACGGGUGCGUAACGCGUGGGAACCUGCCCUUAGGUUCGGCAUAACUCCCCGAAAGGGGUUCUAAUACCGGAUAAUAUCUUCGGACCAAAGAUUUAUCGCCUUUGGAUGGGCCCGCGUUGGAUUAGCUAGUUGGUAGGGUAAAAGCAUACCAAGGCGAGGAUCCAUAGCUGGUCUGAGAGGAUGAUCAGCCACGCUGGGACUGAGACACGGCCCCGACUCCUACGGGAGGCAGGAGUGGGGAAUAUUGGACAAUGGGCGAAAGCCUGAUCCAGCAAUGCCGCGUGAGUGAUGAAGGCCUUAGGGUUGUAAAGCUCUUUUAACCGGGAUGAUAAUGACAGUACCGGGAGAAUAAGCUCCGGCUAACUACGUG
rnacentral:rRNA from 1 species